GACGAACGCUGGCGGUGUGCUUAACACAUGCAAGUCGAACGGUAAGGCCCUUUCGGGGGUACACGAGUGGCGAACGGGUGCAUAACACGUGAGUAACCUGCCCUCAUCUCUGGGAUAACAGUCGGAAACGGUUGCUAAUACUGGAUAUGAGCCUGCAAGGCAUCUUGUGGGUUGGAAAGAUUUUUUGGUUGGGGAUGGACUCGCGGCCUAUCAGCUUGUUGGUGAGGUAGUGGCUCACCAAGGCUUCGACGGGUAGCCGGCCUGAGAGGGCGACCGGCCACAUUGGGACUGAGAUACGGCCCAAACUCCUACGGGAGGCAGCAGUGGGGAAUAUUGCACAAUGGACGGAAGUCUGAUGCAGCAACGCCGCGUGCGGGAUGACGGCCUUCGGGUUGUAAACCGCUUUCAAUUGUGACGAAGCUUUUUGUGACGGUAGCAGUAGAAGAAGCACCGGCUAACUACGUG
rnacentral:rRNA from 1 species